rnacentral:lncRNA from 1 species
UUUUUGAGAGAGAUAGAGAGAGAAAGUGGGAGAAAGAGGAAGAAAGGGUUAGAGAGAAGAGGAACUUGAUGAUUCAAAGAUUGGAAGAGAUCUAGGAGCUAAAUUGAAGCUUGAGCUGGGGAAUUAAUCUAACUAAGUGGUUGAAACGGAAGCAUACAGAUCAAUCAACUUUGAUGUUUAUCGAAGAACAAUGUAAUGCGAAUCAUAUUUGCUUUAGCUUUUGUUUGUUAAUCGAGGAAUUAGACAUUCAAAUUAUACUGUUCAAACUAAGCAUCCCUAGUCCUAUAUCAUGAUUGGCACAUAGCAGUGCUAUUGCAAAUGAUUCAUAUUUUGGGACAUUUAUUUGUGGGGAUAGUAUGUUGGCUCUUUAUCAAUUGAGAACCUUAAAUUAUACAUUCUUGAGUGAUAAAGUUAAUUCUACAAUUAACAAACUCUCGGCAGUUAACUGCCAAAGUUUUUUCGGCAAUUAACUGCCGAAGGGCAAUUUACUUGUGG